rnacentral:misc_RNA from 1 species
GCGAGAUGGAGGACUCGUUUCAGGAUGGAAAGGAGGCAGUCAUUCAAGCGUGGUACAUGGACGAUAGUGAAGAAGACCAGAGACUUCCUCAUCACCGUGAACCCAAGGAAUAUCUUUCUUUGGAGCAACUUAAAGAUCUAGGAGUCGUCAGCUGGCGCCUGCAAAAUGUCGAUGAUUAUGACAAUGAUGAAGACCUGAAGAAGAUACGUGAAGCCAGGGGCUAUUCUUACGUGGACAUAAUUGAAGUGUGCCCAGAGAAGCUGCCAAACUAUGAGGCCAAGAUCAAGAGUUUCUUUGAGGAGCAUCUGCACACUGAUGAAGAAAUUCGUUACUGCCUUGAUGGGACUGGUUACUUUGACGUUAGGGACCGUAAUGACCAGUGGAUUCGCGUGGCUGUGAAGAAAGGGGGCAUGAUUGUCUUGCCUGCUGGAAUCUAUCAUCGUUUUACCCUGGAUUCUAACAACUAUAUUAAGGCGAUGCGCCUCUUUGUUGGCGAGCCAGUGUGGACUCCUUACAACCGCCCCCACGAUGAGCUGCCAGCGAGGAAAGAGUACCUUGAAGCUUUUGUGAACAAGCAAGUCAGUCGCCAAGCUGUUGAAGCUAUCUGAUGUUGCAUACGCCUUUGUAUGUAACAUUAGUAUCCGAAUUCUAUGAAUUUAAUUGUGUGGAGUUUGGGUCCUGUUAAAUCUCUCUAAUGGUCUCUAUUUCGCAGAUACCAAAGUAUAGAACAUUAUACAUAUAUCCAAAUCCAUGUGUUUGGAUGGUUAUGUGUGGAGUUAUUAGUUGAGUUCUUA